UCAGCCCCGGGCCCGCGCCCGCCGGAGACACCACGAACUCUGUCUGAUCUAGUGAAGUCUGAGUUGAUUGUAUCGCAAUCAGUUAAAACUUUCAACAAUGGAUCUCUUGGUUCCGGCAUCGAUGAAGAACGCAGCGAAAUGCGAUAACUAGUGUGAAUUGCAGAAUUCCGUGAAUCAUCGAGUCUUUGAACGCACAUUGCGCCCCCUGGUAUUCCGGGGGGCAUGCCUGUCCGAGCGUCAUUGCUGCCCAUCAAGCACGGCUUGUGUGUUGGGUCGUCGUCCCCUCUCCGGGGGGGACGGGCCCCAAAGGCAGCGGCGGCACCGCGUCCGAUCCUCGAGCGUAUGGGGCUUUGUCACCCGCUCUGUAGGCCCGGCCGGCGCUUGCCGAACGCAAAUCAAUCUUUUUCCAGGUUGACCUCGGAUCAGGUAGGGAUACCCGCUGAACUUAAGCAUAUCAA
rnacentral:rRNA from 1 species